AUCGCGCCAGUUCCGGGAGGGGAAUGGAAGCUGAAGUGACUUUUGAGCGAUUAAUUCCUGAGUGAUGAGUGCUCUCAGACACAGUGCGUGACAGGACCGACAGAAGACUCCGCCAAACCAGGAAAUAAGAGAGCUUUAGGGGCGUGUGGUCUCAGCGAUGCCUCCCUCCGCCUCAACACAGAAAAAGAUAAAAUGUGAAACAGAAGUGGAUUUGCCUUCUAAGCCUCUAGGAUACUACCGGAAUCAGCAUAUAUUGAUAAACACAGCCCUUGAAGUGUUCAUAUAAAUAUUGACAAUAAUUUCAAUUUGAUAAUGUUUAAAAGUAUGAUAUAUACAUUGAAGAAUAUUCUGAAGGACCGGGCCUACCUGUAAUCCCAGCUGCUCGGAAGGCUGAGGCAGGAAGACCACAAGUCCGAGACCAGCCUCAGCAACUGAGAAUCUGACAUAAAAUAUUCCAGAUAACAUGAAAAAGAUGGACAAAAUCUGGGCGGGUGGCACACGCCUAAUCCCAGUGAUUCCGCAGUUUGAGGCAGGACGAUCCAAAGUUCAAGUCCAGCAACUUGGUAAGACCCUGUCUCUAAGAAAUAAAAAGGGGGUUGUAGCUCAGUGAUAGAGCACUUGCCUUUCACGUGCAACGCAUGGGUUCCAUCCUCAGCACCACAUAAAAAUAAGUUAAUAAAGGUAUUGUGUCCAUCUACAACUAAAAAAAUAUUUUUUAAAAAAAAAGAAGAAAUAAAAUGGGUUGGGGAAUGUAGAUCAGUGGUAAAGCACCUUUGGGUUCAAUCUCCCAUAUCCCAAAUAAAUAAGUAAAAAUAGCUGUGCGCGGUGGCAUAUGCCUGUAUUCCAGAAGCUGGGGACACUGAGGCAAGAGGAUUCCAAGUUCAAAGCCAACCUCAGCAAUUUAGCCAAUCCCUAUCUCAAAAGGGCUGGGGUGUGGCUCAGUGGUUAAAUGGCCAAUACCCAAAAUUAAAAGUAGAAAGAUUGACAAUAUUAGCAUAUCACUUUUGCCAUCACCAGUUAAUUAAUUGAUACAGGCAAUAGGUAUCAGUGGCUGCUAAUAGCUCAAAAGGAACAAAACCCCAGAGUUUAGAUGGUUCUCCAAGAACAUAAUACAACCUAUGAUAUAGCCAAAAUUAGAUGGUUCUCCAAGAAGAACAUAAUACAACCUAUGAUAUAGCCAAAAGGAUCAAAUCUCUGGAUUCAGCUGCCAAUUUGCAGAAAAUAAAGAGGACAUAAGAAUAUGUUAAACUGCAUCAUGAAUAUGUAAUCGGAAAAAUUGACUGUUGGAAAUGCUACAGGUCAAAAGCUCAGGUUCUUCAAGAGAUAAAUAAAAAGGAAAAGGAAAGCAUGUGAGCGAAAACUGUGUAUGAUAAGAAACAGCAAUGGACUGAAUGUGCCUCCCACCAGAUAUCAUAUGUUGAUAUUUAUUGGUGGAGUCUUUUAGUGUUUUAGAGGCAAUUAGGUUUAAAUGAAGUCAUGAGAGUUAGUAUUCUUAUAAGAGAAAGAGACAAGAGUCUUUUCUCCAGGCCACCAGAACAUAAAUAAAUUUGAUUAAGCCCAGUGUGGUAGUCCAUGCCUAUAAUCACAUAUACUUUAAGUUAUAAGGCUAGUCUGGACAACUUAGGAAGAAACUUCCUUAAAAUAAAAAAACAAAAUAUAACAGGGCUGGGGACCUAACUCAGCGUACAGUGCUUGCCUACUAUGUGGGGGGCCCUGGGUUCAAUUCCCAGGGUAUAUAAACACACACACACACACACACACACACACACACACACGAAGAUAUGAAGGAAUAAUUAUGGGGAAAUCUUAACAGUGGUUAUUUCUGAAAAAGCAGAAUGGAGAAUUUAAAAAACACAUAGAAGCCAGAUCUUGUGGUGUGCACUUGUAGUCGUAGCUACAAGUGAGGCAGGAUUGUAAAUUAAAUUAAAGGCAGCUUUGGCAACAGAGUGAGAAUCUGUCUCAAAUACAAAACUACUGAAAGAAAAAAAAAAAACAGACAUAAAGUGUGUGUGUGUAUACAUUCUGCAGUGAUAGGGAUCAAUUCCACAACCUCAUGCAUGAUAGGCAUGCUAGCUAGGCAAGUGGUCCACCACUGAUCUACACCCCUAGCCCAAAAUAUAUUAAAUUUAAAUCAAUAACAAUAUUAUCUUAGUGUGUUCAGUCACUAAGUCUAUGGUAUUGAUACCAUAGACUGGGUGGAUUAUGAACAACAAAAAUUUAUUUCUUUCAUCUCUAGAGACUGGGAAGUCCAAGAUCAGACCAAAUUUGGUGUCUGGCAAGGGCCCACUUUCUGGCUUAUAAAUGGCAUGGAAAUGCAGAAAAGAAGAAGGAGCUCUUUGAAGUCUUUUAUAAGGGCACUAAUCAUUCAUGAUGGUUUUGUGAGAAAUAGUAAGCCUGAUGGUCCAUUUUCAGAACAUAGUAUUUAACCUUAGUUGGAAUGUAAGAUCCAAUCCUAGCCAUUUGAGCUUCCCAACCUGUAUCCAAUUGUGGCUAUUUUAACUAUAGCCCUUCCCUUCACCCUCCCCAAUUUUAGAGUUAGCCAAUUGUGUAGAUGGCAACCCCAAGCUCUUCCUAUCAGAGCAAAGGGCAGCCUCACAUUCGGGAUAAAAAGAGGCAGUCUGCCCACCCAAGUGUGUUUGCUUGCUAGACUUAGUUCAGUAGCACACCCUUCUGCAGAAGUAAAUGUUGCCUUGCUGAGGCACCUUGGUAUUUUUAACAGUUGCACCCUCUUGACCGAAUCACUUAUCAAAGGCCUCAUCUUUUAAUAUCCAUGUCGUAGGUUAGCAUUUCAACAAAUGAAUUUUGGCACCAAGUUUUAAUAAGGAUGUGCAGAGCAAUGAGUAAUCUCAUGCAAAACUGGUGACCAUGUAAACCGAUAAAACCACUUCAGAAAAUGUGUAGCACUAUCUACUAAAGCUGAAUACAUGCACACCUUAUGCAUACCCAAUUACUCUUUAAGGUAUAAUACCAAGAUAAGUCUAUAAAUAUUAGUACCAAAACAUGUGUUAAAGAAUGUAAAUAAUAACAACAAAAAUCCAAUUUAAAAACAGGAAAAGAACUUAGACAUUUUCCCAAAGAUACACAGGUGGCAAUAAGUACAUGAAAAGGGCCAGGUGUGGUAGCAGACGCCUGUAAUCCCAGUGGCUUGGGAGGCUGAGACAGGAGGAUGGAGAGUUCAAAGCCAGCCUCAGCAAUAGCAAGGCACUAAGCAACUCAGUGCGAUCUUGUCUCUAAAUAAAAUACAAAAUAGAGCUGGAGAUAUGGCUCUGUGGUUGAGUGUCCCUGAGUUCAAGCCCUGAUACCAAAAAAAAAAAAAAAAGUACAUAAAAAGAUGUUCAAUAUCACUAUGUGGAAAUGCAAAUCAAAAUCAUAAUCAUACUUCACACCCAUUAGGAUGGUUAUUAUUAUUUGAAAGAAGGGAGGGAGGGAAACAAGUGUUAGUAAAGAUUUGUGGUAAUGGAACCCUUAUGCAUUAUGGGUGGGAAGACAAAAUGGGGAAGCCAUGUGGACUACUAUAAAAAAUAAUUUAAAAAUUAAACAGUGGGGCUGGGAUUGUGGCUCAGCGGUAGAGUGCUCGCCUAGCACAUGCGAGGCCCUGGGUUCGAUCCUCAGCACCACAUAAAAAUAAGAUAAAGAUAUAAAAAAAAUUAAAUAGUGGGGUAUGAUGGCACAUGCCUGUAAUCCCAGCAGCUCGGGAGGCUGAGACUGGAGGUCUGGAGUUCAAAGCCAGACUCAGCAAUGGCAAGGUGCUAAACUACUCAGUGAAACCCUGUCUCAAAAUACAAAAUAGGUCUGGGAUAUGGCUCUGUGGUUGAGUACCCCUGAGCUCAAUCCCCAGUACCUAAAAAUAAAUAAAUAAAUAAAUAAAUAAAUAAAAUUACCAUACAAUCCAGCACUUUAGGGACUUCCACUUUAGAGACUCAAAUAUUUAUGUACCCUUUUCAAUAUUAUUUGCAAUAUUCUAGAGGCAAAAACAAUCCAAAUGUCAAAUGAUAAAAUGUGGUGGACAUAUACCAUGGAAUAUUAUUUAGGCUUAAAAUAAGUUAGUGCUGGAGUUUUAGGUCAGUGAAAGUGCUUGAUCCCCAGCACUGAGAAAAAAAAAAAAAAAAAGAAGGGGAGAGGGAGAGAAGGAAGGGAAAGAAGGAAGUUCUGGGCCAGAUGGCCAAAGCACAGUUCCACACCCACAGCACCUUUGUGAACAUGUUGGACAUGAACAUGUGCGCAAGUUGAACCUGAUAGCUGAAGGAGAGAGUCAUUCAGACACUAUGCUUGGGACCCACUCUGCUCUCCAUGAGUAAAUUCAGAGAACUCUUCAGAACUAGAUGAACUCAUAAUUAUUUAAGAAGUGCAGAGUAUUGAGGAGUGAAAAUUGAACCCCUAAACAAACUAGAUGGAAAUAAUAAAGCAUAGCUGUUUUAAAUCAGUGAUGGAUAAAAGAUUUAAAAUAGCAGCUUUUACCAACACACAGAAACUAUUCUCAUCACUACUCCUUGAAGAAAAUACCCAUUAAAUUUCUAAUUAUUGCAGAUAAAAAUAAUAUGAAUCUUUUUCAAAAUAACCUGAUACUUAGAAAAGGCUCUAGUAUUCAGAAUUCAUAAUAUUAUCCCUGGUAAAAACUAGAUAUAUAAAAAUUAUGUAAUGAGGGCUGAGGUUGUGGCUCAAUGAUAGAGCACUCACCUAGCACAAGGGAGGCACUGGGUUUGAUCCUCAGCACCACAUAAAAAUAAACAAAUAAAUAAAUAUAAACAAAUAAAUAAAUAAAGGUAUUAUGUCUGUUUACCACUUGAAAAAUAUUUUUUUAAUUAUGUAAUGUAAGGACAACACUAUAACCUUAAUUCUUAUAUAGUAUUAUUAACUCACAUUCACUCCUGCAUUUGAGUCAAAAUACUUACUGAUUUUUUUCAUUGGCAAUAAUUAUGAGUGCAAAAAAGUUUCCUAGUUGUACAAUCAAAUGAAAAAUUAUACUAUCUUAAUUUUGCAAUAGAUUGUAAUUGCUGGUGUCAUUUUUAUACAACAAAGCAAAAGCUUAAUGGUAAAAUAAGAAACAAAAUAGCCAAAAUUCUUCAUUUAACAAAAAGGAAAUUCUGACACAUGCUACAACACAGAUGAAACUUGAAGAUAUAGUGCUAAGUGAAAUGAGCCACACACAAAAGGAUACAUGUAUGAUUCCACUUAUAUCAGAUACCUAGUACAGUCAUAUUCACAGACAUUAAAAAAAAUAGAACAGUGAUUACCAGUAGCUGGAGCAAAGGGAAUGGAAAAUUACUAUUUAAUGGUUUCCAUUUAGGCACAUGAAAAAGAUAUGAAAAUGGACAUUGGUGCUGAUCACACAAUAUGAAUGUACUUAUAUUUAAUGCUACUAAACUGUACUUAUAAAAUGAUUGAAAUACAGAAUUGUGUAUUUGUGUGUGUGUGUGUGUGUGCAUGUGUGUGUGUUUUACUGGAAAUUAAAACCAAGGUCUGGGGUUCAGGAUGUGGCUCAAGUGGUAGUGCGCUCACCUGGCAUGCAUGAGGCCCUGAGUUCAAUCCUCAGCACCACAUAAAAAUAAAAUAUUGUGUCUAUCUAAAACUAAAAAAUAAAUAUUUAAAAAAUAAAAAUAAAUAAAACCAAGGCCUCACCCAUGUUAAGGAAGCACUCUACCACUGAGCUCCAUCUCUAGCCUUUUUUGUUCUUAUUUCAGACAGGGUCUCACCAAGUUGUCAACACUGGCCUGGAACUUGGAAUCCUCCUGCCACAGCCUCCUAAGUAGCCAGGAUCGUAAGCAUGCCCCACCACACCCAGCCAUAAUUUUUUUUUUCCCCAAACUGCAUACAGCACUAUUUCUAACAACCCCAAACUGGAACAUAAUCAUCUGUGACAGUAGAAUAUAUUAAUUGUUAUAUAUUCAUCCAAUUGAACUAUAUAGCAAUGAGAAUGUACUAUUGCUACACUAAACACAGGAAUGAAUCUUAUAUACUGCUUAACAAAAUAGUGAAAUAAUUCGAGUAUGAAUAUUAUUAUGAAUCUAUUUGAAAAAUUCAAAAAUAAGCAAAACAAACCCAUAGUAGUAAUAUCUAUAGGCAGAAGAAAGGGUUAUAACUAGGAACAGGGAAUGGGGAGGGAUUUGGGAGCAUGGUAAUAUUCAAGUUUUUGACCUAGAUGGGGGUUAUAGAAGUGUUCACUUUGUAAAAAUUCACCAAGAAAUUCACAUUUCUUUUAUGUACUUUUGCAUGUGUCAUAAUUCAAUUUAAGAGUUUUUUUUUUUUUGGUACCAGGGAUUGAACUCAGGGGUACUUAACCACUGAGCCACUGCUGCAGUCUGGCUGGGCACAAUUCACAAGCCACUUAUCAAGCAGAAACGAACUUUACUUUUAGAACACACACACCACACCACACGAGCUCUUCAGGAAUUCCCUCAGAGCCCAGCUGCCACCACCGGCUUCCCAUGAGCCUCUCAACCCCCCACUCCUCCUGCUCUUGAGGCCAAUUGGCUGGGUCACAUGGGCGGAGCCAAAAGAGUCCCCCAAUGAGCAGCUCCAUAUAUCAUAUAUGACAAGUGCUCAUGAAAAAAAUGGAUCCAAAUAUUUUUUUUAUUCACGUGAUUUAAAUGAUUUAAUCAGCUGUUGAGGAUUGUUUUAAUAUGUGAACAAAAAAGGAGGUUAACAGAUCUGUUUGUUUACUUUCACCUUUCCUUUUCAUUAUAUUUGAUAAUUCUGUUCAGGAUGAUGUAAAUUGUUCAGAAAAUUGUUUUCUUUUAGUGCCUGCUGGAAUGUUACAUAAUUUUUUCUUUAGCCAUUAUUGCCAGAAUUCCUAUCUUCAUCCCAGUGCCGGUGAAAACAAAGAUAAAACCAAUCUACAGCUUCUGCAAUAGAUAUCACUGAACUGCUUGCAGAACUUGCCUGGACUGUGUAUCACUUGUAUGCAUUGUGAACUAUCUGUUGGUGCAGUGACUUGUGGUAGUGUUGGGGUAUUUUUGCUGAUGGUGUCAUCGGUAGUACAAUUUUUCCACAAGGAGCCGUCAAUUUGCUUGGUGUAUCCUCCUCCCUUCUGCUUGUGAUGGUCAUUCAGCUAAAAUUUGGGGGCCAACAGAGGUGAAGCAAAGAACCUCACCCCCCGCUGGUACAAAGGCCUAUCCACAGGUGUGGCUGUAUGCUGGACCGGUAGUCAAUGACGGGUAAGAUCUAAUUGCAAUGGUACCAACCUAAGACAGGAGGCUGACGCCUUGAGGUCAGCUCAUCAGAGUAAGGGUAAGGACCAUAUGUAGUAUUGGACAACUUAAGGCAGGCACGGUCCCUAAGCUUCAUGCUUGUUGUUUAAACAGAGAGAGGGAGAUGUUGAGAGCCACAGCCAAAGGGGCCCCAGCAAACUUCCAGCUGUUGGCUCACCGUGGCCCCAGCAAACUUCCAGCUCUGUGGUGAUGCUCAUUGGGCUGUUUCCCCGCCCUUUCAGACCACGGAGCUGCUCAUUGGGGAAGCCGGUGGUGGCAGUUGGGCUCUGAGGGAAUUCCUGAAGAACUUGUGUGGUGCAGUGUGUGUGUUCUAAAAAUAAAGUUCGUUUCUGCUUGAUAAGUGGCUGGUGAAUUGUGCCCAGCCAGACUGUGGCAAGCCACAUCCC
rnacentral:lncRNA from 1 species